ensembl:antisense Gm16043 predicted gene 16043
GUGCUGCUGGCCACAUGAAAGCAGGGCACACACAGAUGCACAGCAUAAGACUUGGUGGCGAAUACCUGCCACUUGUUUGCAUGUUUACAACAUUGUAUUUUUUAAUCAAUAUUUUAGAAUGUAUAGAAGUUAACUGUAAGUCAGUCACAGACAAGUCAAGUCCUUCAGGAGGGAUUUUGAAAAAGAUUUUGCAGUCCUUGAAGACCUUCUAAGGGGUUAGGUAGGAUACAUUGUUUAGGUUUAUAAAGUACAGAAGCCAUAAAGAGCUAAGCCUCAUUUAUUAUGGGGGAAGAUAUUUUAAAAUAAAUUUAGUGUGCUCUAAGUGUGCACUGCUUUUCAAGUGCAUAGCAGUGCAGUUAGGCCUUCCUUGCCUUCACGUUCACAUCUUGCCACUCACUGUCACAUCCACAACUUCCAGGCCCGCACCAUGAAUAAGAGGAAGAAGAGGACGAGGAGGAGAAAGAAGAAGAAGAAGAAGAACAAGAACCACUUGCCUUUCUUUUCUCAGCACUCCAGCUGAAACAACAACAUCAACUUCAACAACAUCCAGCUGAGCGUGCAGAAGAGAUGGGGAAGCUAAGCAGGCUGCUGGUCCAUUCUGUCAUCUGUUUCAUGUACUGGAA